rnacentral:lncRNA from 1 species
UUACAUACCUGCCAACUUUUCAAAAUGCCCAUGGGGGUUUUGCGUGCAAGAUGGCUGUCAAAGUCCUAAAAAACCUUCAAGGGGGCCUUCAAAUACAUUUUACUGUUGUUUUUUGGCUUCUCCAUACUUUAUUAAGCCUAAAGUCAUUGUAAAAUUAAUUGUUUUGUUUAAAAUUGUGGACAAAAUUGCUCUUUCAAAAUUUCAAUUUGGGAGCCUCCAUGGGGGAAAUCCCCCGCAAAUAGUGACAG